rnacentral:pre_miRNA from 1 species
UUUAUGAUUAAUAUUAACAACACGUACUGUUUGUCUUAUUUAAAANUUUUUAUGAUUAAUAUUUUUGUUGUUAUUAGAUGAUAAAAUAUAAAUAGUACUUUAUACGUGACUUAACUUUUAAUUUUUUUAAUAAGACGGACGGUAAGCAUUAAGCACGAAAACUUAUGGCUGCACUUACA